rnacentral:rRNA from 1 species
GUGCCAGCAGCCGCGGUAAUACAGAGGGUGCAAGCGUUGCUCGGAAUCAUUGGGCGUAAAGGGCAAGUAGGUGGUCUCGUUUGUCUGAGGUGAAAUCCCUGAGCUUAACUCAGGAACUGCCUCAGAAACGGCGAGACUAGAGUCCUGGAGAGGGUCGCGGAAUUCCUGGUGUAGCGGUGAAAUGCGUAGAGAUCAGGAGGAAUACCAGAGGCGAAAGCGGCGGCCUGGACAGGAACUGACACUCAACUGCGAAAGCGUGGGGAGCAAACAGGAUUAGAUACCCUGGUAGUCC